CCUGAACAGAGAUAUUCAGGACAUGUCAGAGAGAGAAGCAGAAAAUCCUCCUGUUGAAAAUGCAGGUGAUGAUUUUGAGAAAACUCCAGAAAAACAAGACGUGAUGGAGUCCAGGUCUCACAGAUACAGAGUGGACUCUGGACUUUGGGCUUUGAUCAACCAGGUUCCUGACAGGUUGUGUGUGACUGCGCCCUCUGGUGAUCGCUCCAGGUCCUACAUCCACCUGAAGACUCAACCGCAUGACACUGAACACAGAGCAGCUGAAGUACUGGAAACAGAACAGGUUCUUCUGUGGAGUAUAAGCUUAAAAAGACAGAUUUCAGUGAUACAGUAUUCACAUAAAAUUGCCAUGAAUGAGGUAGUGCGUAUAACCUGGAAGAAUAAUGUGCAGAUUAAUCUCAGUUUAAGUUUCUGAUCCAAAAUUUAGCUUUUAAGGUAUAAAAACAAAGUGGUUAUUUCCAAAUGAAUACAAAGCAAAAUCACACAAAUGCCCUCACAUUUCACUGGUUCAUCUGCGUUACAUCAUCCAGAUCAAUGAUCCACAUCUCAGAUGUAGCACUGAACCACUGCUGCUGUGACUGAAGAUAAACUCACGUUUUCCUGGUCUUUUCCCAGAGAGGUGUGUCUGAGGACAGAGAUAAGGCCGAGCUCUCCUCGGCUGUCAGAGAGGAGCUGUCUGAUUGGCAGCUCUCCUCCCUGAGAUCAACAGAGGACGAAGUGGCAGCUCUUGAUCCCUCCUUCAGCGGGACAGUAAAUCGACCUGAGAUCACUCACCUGUUUCUGAAAAAUUAUGUCCCACUGAAAUUACCAACAUUUUCUCUGCUUCUCCAGAUUUUUUCUGAUAAAAAUGAUCCAGUCCAGGUAAGGAAGCAACAAUAGACUCCACAUGCACAAGAAAUCUUAUUUUUAGGCUUUGGAGUUCUAAAAAUGGAAACAUUUAUCAGAUUGACCAGUGUGUUUGACAGGUUUUAAAUCGUUGUGAUGUGUCAUGAUGUGUCGUUGGGAUGUGUCGUGUCAAAAACAUUUGUUAUGGCAUUAAAUUCAGAGUUCUUCAUUUUGUGCUGACCUAUGUUGUUACAGAUUUAUUACAGAGACCUCCUUCAGUUCAUUAAAACCUCUGCAUUCCCUGAGGAAGUGCACAGUGACAGAGAGGUAACGGCACAGUUUUCAGGUGCAGGAUAAACCGAUCCUGAAACUGUGAUGUGAAGAUGCAGCUCGUUCUCCUUGUUUCACCUCUCUGCAGCUUCAGCGUAGCUGAAGAGGGACGAUGCUUAUUUACGACUGCCUCAUCACGAAUCUGAGCACGCUGAGAAACCAGAGCCAAACAGAGCUCUGCAACACCUCACGGGACUAUAAUUCAUAUUGUUGUGAGAGAAAUAGUUGUGUAUAGUGAGAAGAUUUGUUUACCUAUAUCAUCAUAUACAGGACUGUUACACUACAUUCACCUGGUACACAACCUGCUAUUCUUUUUUCCCUGUGCUGACCACCUGAAUGCCAGCCGCCUCUGAACAUUUGAAAAGGAACAGCAGCAGUCGUUAGUUAGUUAGUAAUGUUAACUACAACACACACACCAGGCUGCAGAGCACCACGUCAUCUGGCAUGCAAUAACUGACAACCAUAGCACAGAGACAGAGUGAGGAGACAGUGCCAAUCCAAGGAGUGAAUGUGACAUAUGGUCUGGUGUUGUACUUACUGUUGGCAAUUUCUGCCAAUUAGAAAAGCAGUAAUACAUAGCAUAAGAACUGUCUAUUUUAUGAUGAUUUUUUGAAGUACUGUGGCAGCAAGGUCCAGCUUAUACAUACAUACCACUACAGCGGCUCCUGUAUCAACAUGGAAGGACAGACAUGUUAUUUGCAGCAGAUUGUUUUGAAGCAGAAAAAAAAAAAAAAACUCCCAAGAAGACACUGACGUGAGGACAAUGUCAUUCUGACUGGGCAACAUAAAAUGGUGUUUCUGUAUCUGAUUAAAUAGGCUAGGACUGCUGUAUAUUAUAACAAGUUGAUGCACUUUAAAGUCACUACUGCAUACAAACAGAUUAACCCACAUGACAAACUUGUUUGUUUGCUUUUUUCUUUAUUUUUUUGGUAGCUUUUUUUUAUAAUUAAGAUUUUUUCCCUUUUUUCUCGCUAUCCCUGCUUUUGGCACUACAUACUUAGGGUGACAUGUUAGGUUGUUUUUAAAACAAACGUCUAUUCAAAGCCUUCAUCUUGUGGCAAGCAAAGUAUGAAUACAGCUAAUAAAAAUAAAGGUUUACAUUUUUCCU